rnacentral:rRNA from 1 species
AGCGAACGCUGGCGGCAGGCUUAACACAUGCAAGUCGAACGAACCCUUCGGGGUUAGUGGCGGACGGGUGAGUAACACGUGGGAACGUGCCUUUAGGUUCGGAAUAACUCAGGGAAACUUGUGCUAAUACCGAAUGUGCCCUUCGGGGGAAAGAUUUAUCGCCUUUAGAGCGGCCCGCGUCUGAUUAGCUAGUUGGUGAGGUAAUGGCUCACCAAGGCUACGAUCAGUAGCUGGUCUGAGAGGAUGACCAGCCACAUUGGGACUGAGACACGGCCCAAACUCCUACGGGAGGCAGCAGUGGGGAAUCUUGCGCAAUGGGCGAAAGCCUGACGCAGCCAUGCCGCGUGGAUGAUGAAGGUCUUAGGAUUGUAAAAUCCUUUCACCGGUGGAGAUAAUGACUGUAGCCGGAGAAGAAGCCCCGGCUAACUUCGUGCCAGCAGCCGCAGUAACAC